UUAAAUUCGUUGACGAGAUCGAGUAAGCUGUGGGUACUGUUCUACAGAGAGCUGAUACUUGCUGAAAAUCAGUGUUCAGUCCAUAGCUGAAAAUCCUCUCCGAGAAGAUAUGCUGAACAAUAGGAGUAAGCAUGUCCGGAUUUCCUCCGUUAUUUUGGAACACGUAUGAAUUCGUACGUUGCAGAGUGCCGCGGUUUGUUUGCUAUACGCGGAAUCAGGGUGGUAACACGGGAAACUAAUCUCGUCCCUUUU
rnacentral:ncRNA from 1 species